AUUGAACGCUGGCGGCAGGCCUAACACAUGCAAGUCGAGCGGAUGAAGGGAGCUUGCUCCUGGAUUCAGCGGCGGACGGGUGAGUAAUGCCUAGGAAUCUGCCUGGUAGUGGGGGAUAACGUCCGGAAACGGGCGCUAAUACCACAUACGUCCUGAGGGAGAAAGUGGGGGAUCUUCGGACCUCACGCUAUCAGAUGAGCCUAGGUCGGAUUAGCUAGUUGGUGGGGUAAAGGCCUACCAAGGCGACGAUCCGUAACUGGUCUGAGAGGAUGAUCAGUCACACUGGAACUGAGUCACGGUCCAGACUCCUACGGGAGGCAGCAGUGGGGAAUAUUGGACAAUGGGCGAAAGCCUGAUCCAGCCAUGCCGCGUGUGUGAAGAAGGUCUUCGGAUUGUAAAGCACUUUAAGUUGGGAGGAAGGGCAGUAAGUUAAUACCUUGCUGUUUUGACGUUACCAACAGAAUAAGCACCGGCUAACUUCGUG
rnacentral:rRNA from 1 species